AAGAAAGAAUUCAAGAGCUGCUAACUCAUGUAACCGUGUUUAACACCACGGCUUUCUUA
rnacentral:tRNA from 1 species